UUUCCCCGGAAACGGAAGUGAAUAGCGCAAUCUAACGUUUUUAUAUCUAUGUUCUGUUUAACGCGAAUCUCCGAGACUGAACGUCGUAAGAAACCAACUUGAUGGUUUCCCACACACAUACGGUAAUAUUAGCCUAUGUUUGGUAUCCUGAACUUUCACACAUGCUGUUGCGGAGUACAGAGUGUACAGCUACCGCUGCUCAUCCAGAAGCGGCAUCCUACGGUGGAGCAAAAGGCCAUUAUCCGAGCGGCUGAGACCGUGGAGCUCAUCACAACUCCUGACCUUUAAAAACACUCAGCGAUGGAUUGCAGGUCAUACCUCCGUGAGAACCAGCAGUGAUUGGAAGGGAAGUGCAUCUCUUACUGACAGCACAAAAUAGCCCGGGCACCUGCUGCAUGGAGGCACUGAUGCCACGGUAACCGGAGGUACUCUGGCCAAAUGAAACCCACAGGCAGAAACCUGCAUGGUCUGGGCUUCAGGACCCCCCAAAUGAGCCCCCCAAAAUAUAAACACGCUACUUACGCCAUUCACCACGCAGAAACGAAGGAAAGCAAACGAGACCAUUAUUUAUGAAUUAAAAGUGUAUUUUUUAAACGGUACCCAUUAAACAGACUGCAGUUAAAUUGA